AUGAACGCUGGCGGCGUGCCUAAUCCAUGCCAGUCGAGCGAACAGACGAGGAGCUUGCUCCUCUGACGUUAGCGGCGGACGGGUGAGUAACACGUGGAUAACCUACCUAUAAGACUGGGAUAACUUCGGGAAACCGGAGCUAAUACCGGAUAACAUGUUGAACCGCAUGGUUCAACAGUGAAAGACGGUCUUGCUGUCACUUAUAGAUGGAUCCGCGCCGCAUUAGCUAGUUGGUAAGGUAACGGCUUACCAAGGCAACGAUGCGUAGCCGACCUGAGAGGGUGAUCGGCCACACUGGAACUGAGACACGGUCCAGACUCCUACGGGAGGCAGCAGUAGGGAAUCUUCCGCAAUGGGCGAAAGCCUGACGGAGCAACGCCGCGUGAGUGAUGAAGGUCUUCGGAUCGUAAAACUCUGUUAUUAGGGAAGAACAAAUGUGUAAGUAACUAUGCACGUCUUGACGGUACCUAAUCAGAAAGCCACGGCUAACUACGUG
rnacentral:rRNA from 1 species